AGAGUUUGAUCCUGGCUCAGAUUGAACGCUGGCGGCAUGCUUUACACAUGCAAGUCGAACGGCAGCGCGGGGCAACCUGGCGGCGAGUGGCGAACGGGUGAGUAAUAUAUCGGAACGUACCCAAGAGUGGGGGAUAACGUAGCGAAAGUUACGCUAAUACCGCAUACGAUCCAAGGAUGAAAGCAGGGGACCGCAAGGCCUUGUGCUCCUGGAGCGGCCGAUAUCUGAUUAGCUAGUAGGUAGGGUAAUGGCCUACCUAGGCGACGAUCAGUAGCUGGUCUGAGAGGACGACCAGCCACACUGGAACUGAGACACGGUCCAGACUCCUACGGGAGGCAGCAGUGGGGAAUUUUGGACAAUGGGCGCAAGCCUGAUCCAGCAAUGCCGCGUGAGUGAAGAAGGCCUUCGGGUUGUAAAGCUCUUUUGUCAGGGAAGAAACGGUCUCGGCUAAUAUCUGGGGCUAAUGACGGUACCUGAAGAAUAAGCACCGGCUAACUACGUGCCAGCAGCCGCGGUAAUACGUAGGGUGCAAGCGUUAAUCGGAAUUACUGGGCGUAAAGCGUGCGCAGGCGGUUUUGUAAGUCUGUCGUGAAAGCCCCGGGCUCAACCUGGGAAUUGCGAUGGAGACUGCAAGGCUUGAAUCUGGCAGAGGGGGGUAGAAUUCCACGUAGCAGUGAAAUGCGUAGAGAUGUGGAGGAACACCGAUGGCGAAGGCAGCCCCCUGGGUCAAGAUUGACGCUCAUGCACGAAAGCGUGGGGAGCAAACAGGAUUAGAUACCCUAGUAGUCC
rnacentral:rRNA from 1 species